UAGCUUUGCAUCCUCCCUUGGGCCUAAAACCACCAGUUACCUCUCCCACCGUCAUCUCAGAUGUCUGGUCGGAAAGAAACCAGGCAUCUUUAAGGUUUGAGGCGCUGAGAGAAUGGGUGUAAAGUCCAGAGAAGGCAUUGGUGAAGGAACGCAGCGUCAGGUGGGGAGCGCGAGGGCAAGACGAGCCAGGAGCCCACAGUGGAUCCAGCAAAAGCAGCUGAUCGCUUUCAAAAUGCGGUCUCUUGAAAUGUGAAGAUAUGUGACGGGAGCCUCGGGAGAGAAGACAGCAGCCGGCAGGUGAGAUCGCAAAGCCGCCUCAGGUGGGCCCGUGGACUGGAUGU
rnacentral:lncRNA from 1 species